UUGGCGAGAAAUGGAGCCAAAACAUUGCUUCCCUUUGCAAGCUAGACUUUCUUAGGGAAUGCAAGCAAAAUUUCUUUUAGGGCAAUACCCUCAUGCUCGGGGCAAAUGGACGAUGCAUCUUGGUUUCAGAAAUGAAGGUGAUGCUGCAGGGUUUACACCAACUUCUCAUUCUGGGAUUUACGCUAACUUCUCAUUCUGUGAAUUGGUUGUACAAGUUACAGAGUAGGGAUCAUUCUGCUAGGCCUAUCUAUGUUCUGUAUGAUAAUUCUAAGUAGUUUAGGGAUCUGUUCCUUUUUUUUACUUUAUUUCGGCAAUUUGAUUACCUGGAAACCUUGUCUGCUUCAUAUUCAUCUAGUUUCUCAACAAGAACAAGCACAUUGGUAAGCAAAACAAACUUUUAUACUUUUCUUAUGCUAUGAAAACUAAAUUCGCCA